rnacentral:lncRNA from 1 species
GCACUGAGAGAGAAGUUGCUGCAGAUGCUGCUGGCUCUUCCCGAGGGAAGCAAAGGAUUGUGGGAGGACCCAGCCCCAGCCCCUCUCCCUCCUCCCAGCUCUCCCCUCACAACUUCUCCAAGCCUCCAUGGCUCCCAGGGUGGCACAGUGCAGGCCCUCAUGCUGUCAGAGUGCCCGAGUACCUGGCUCCCAUUCCCUGCUGCUGCCAGAGUUACAUGACAUGUCUGUUUACAAUGACCAGUUAUCAACACAGGACUCCAAGAAGCACCCAGGAUCCCCACAGAUUCCUCCUCAUCCCUGCUGAGUCCCAGAGGCUGCAUUCCCGACUUAGAACCAGAGUCAACGAUGCCUGGUCCUCGCUAGUGGACCGGAAGGAGCCACUUUAAAGAUCUCCCA